AUUGAACGCUGGCGGCAUGCCUUACACAUGCAAGUCGAACGGCAGCGCGGACUUCGGUCUGGCGGCGAGUGGCGAACGGGUGAGUAAUGUAUCGGAACGUACCAUUGAGUGGGGGACAACGAAGCGAAAGUUACGCUAAUACCGCAUAUUCUCUCCGGAGGAAAGCAGGGGACCGCAAGGCCUUGCGCUCUUUGAGCGGCCGAUAUCAGAUUAGCUAGUUGGUGGGGUAAAAGCUCACCAAGGCGACGAUCUGUAGCGGGUCUGAGAGGAUGAUCCGCCACACUGGAACUGAGACACGGUCCAGACUCCUACGGGAGGCAGCAGUGGGGAAUUUUGGACAAUGGGGGCAACCCUGAUCCAGCCAUGCCGCGUGAGUGAAGAAGGCCUUCGGGUUGUAAAGCUCUUUCGGCCGGGAAAAAAUCGCAUGGAUUAAUACUCUGUGUGGAUGAUGGUACCGGAAUAAGAAGCACCGGCUAACUACGUGCCAGCCGCCGCAGUAACAC
rnacentral:rRNA from 1 species